GGGUUGUGAGGUUAAGCGACUAAGCGUACACGGUGGAUGCCCUGGCAGUCAGAGGCGAUGAAGGACGUGCUAAUCUGCGAUAAGCGCCGGUAAGGUGAUAUGAACCGUUAUAACCGGCGAUUUCCGAAUGGGGAAACCCAGUGUGAUUCGUCACACUAUCAUUAACUGAAUCCAUAGGUUAAUGAGGCGAACCGGGGGAACUGAAACAUCUAAGUACCCCGAGGAAAAGAAAUCAACCGAGAUUCCCCCAGUAGCGGCGAGCGAACGGGGAGGAGCCCAGAGCCUGAAUCAGCAUGUGUGUUAGUGGAAGCGUCUGGAAAGGCGCGCGAUACAGGGUGACAGCCCCGUACACAAAAGCGCAUGUGCUGUGAGCUCGAUGAGUAGGGCGGGACACGUGGUAUCCUGUCUGAAUAUGGGGGGACCAUCCUCCAAGGCUAAAUACUCCUGACUGACCGAUAGUGAACCAGUACCGUGAGGGAAAGGCGAAAAGAACCCCGGCGAGGGGAGUGAAAAAGAACCUGAAACCGUGUACGUACAAGCAGUGGGAGCACCCUUCGGGGUGUGACUGCGUACCUUUUGUAUAAUGGGUCAGCGACUUAUAUUCUGUAGCAAGGUUAACCGUAUAGGGGAGCCGGAGGGAAACCGAGUCUUAAUUGGGCGUUAAGUUGCAGGGUAUAGACCCGAAACCCGGUGAUCUAGCCAUGGGCAGGUUGAAGGUUGGGUAACACUAACUGGAGGACCGAACCGACUAAUGUUGAAAAAUUAGCGGAUGACCUGUGGCUGGGGGUGAAAGGCCAAUCAAACCGGGAGAUAGCUGGUUCUCCCCGAAAGCUAUUUAGGUAGCGCCUCGUGAAUUCAUCUCCGGGGGUAGAGCACUGUUUCGGCUAGGGGGCCAUCCCGGCUUACCAACCCGAUGCAAACUGCGAAUACCGGAGAAUGUUAUCACGGGAGACACACGGCGGGUGCUAACGUCCGUCGUGAAGAGGGAAACAACCCAGACCGCCAGCUAAGGUCCCAAAGUCAUGGUUAAGUGGGAAACGAUGUGGGAAGGCCCAGACAGCCAGGAUGUUGGCUUAGAAGCAGCCAUCAUUUAAAGAAAGCGUAAUAGCUCACUGGUCGAGUCGGCCUGCGCGGAAGAUGUAACGGGGCUAAACCAUGCACCGAAGCUGCGGCAGCGAACGUAUCACUUAAAGCGAUUCAGCGGGUUACGAUUGACGGAGCGAAGCGACGUCAAAGCGUAUACAAAGUCGAGUCGGUUUAAGGAUACGUUCGUUGGGUAGGGGAGCGUUCUGUAAGCCUGUGAAGGUGUGUCGUGAGGCAUGCUGGAGGUAUCAGAAGUGCGAAUGCUGACAUAAGUAACGAUAAAGCGGGUGAAAAGCCCGCUCGCCGGAAGACCAAGGGUUCCUGUCCAACGUUAAUCGGGGCAGGGUGAGUCGACCCCUAAGGCGAGGCCGAAAGGCGUAGUCGAUGGGAAACGGGUUAAUAUUCCCGUACUUGGUGUUACUGCGAAGGGGGGACGGAGAAGGCUAUGUUGGCCGGGCGACGGUUGUCCCGGUUUAAGCGUGUAGGUGUGUGUUCCAGGUAAAUCCGGUUCACUUUAACACUGAGGCGUGACGACGAGGCACUACGGUGCUGAAGCAACAAAUGCCCUGCUUCCAGGAAAAGCCUCUAAGCAUCAGGUAACAUCAAAUCGUACCCCAAACCGACACAGGUGGUCAGGUAGAGAAUACCAAGGCGCUUGAGAGAACUCGGGUGAAGGAACUAGGCAAAAUGGUGCCGUAACUUCGGGAGAAGGCACGCUGACACGUAGGUGAAGUGAUUUACUCAUGGAGCUGAAGUCAGUCGAAGAUACCAGCUGGCUGCAACUGUUUAUUAAAAACACAGCACUGUGCAAACACGAAAGUGGACGUAUACGGUGUGACGCCUGCCCGGUGCCGGAAGGUUAAUUGAUGGGGUCAGCGCAAGCGAAGCUCCUGAUCGAAGCCCCGGUAAACGGCGGCCGUAACUAUAACGGUCCUAAGGUAGCGAAAUUCCUUGUCGGGUAAGUUCCGACCUGCACGAAUGGCGUAAUGAUGGCCAGGCUGUCUCCACCCGAGACUCAGUGAAAUUGAACUCGCUGUGAAGAUGCAGUGUACCCGCGGCAAGACGGAAAGACCCCGUGAACCUUUACUAUAGCUUGACACUGAACAUUGAGCCUUGAUGUGUAGGAUAGGUGGGAGGCUUUGAAGUGUGGACGCCAGUCUGCAUGGAGCCGACCUUGAAAUACCACCCUUUAAUGUUUGAUGUUCUAACGUGGACCCGUAAUCCGGGUUGCGGACAGUGUCUGGUGGGUAGUUUGACUGGGGCGGUCUCCUCCUAAAGAGUAACGGAGGAGCACGAAGGUUGGCUAAUCCUGGUCGGACAUCAGGAGGUUAGUGCAAUGGCAUAAGCCAGCUUGACUGCGAGCGUGACGGCGCGAGCAGGUGCGAAAGCAGGUCAUAGUGAUCCGGUGGUUCUGAAUGGAAGGGCCAUCGCUCAACGGAUAAAAGGUACUCCGGGGAUAACAGGCUGAUACCGCCCAAGAGUUCAUAUCGACGGCGGUGUUUGGCACCUCGAUGUCGGCUCAUCACAUCCUGGGGCUGAAGUAGGUCCCAAGGGUAUGGCUGUUCGCCAUUUAAAGUGGUACGCGAGCUGGGUUUAGAACGUCGUGAGACAGUUCGGUCCCUAUCUGCCGUGGGCGCUGGAGAACUGAGGGGGGCUGCUCCUAGUACGAGAGGACCGGAGUGGACGCAUCACUGGUGUUCGGGUUGUCAUGCCAAUGGCACUGCCCGGUAGCUAAAUGCGGAAGAGAUAAGUGCUGAAAGCAUCUAAGCACGAAACUUGCCCCGAGAUGAGUUCUCCCUGAGACUUAGAGUCUCCUGAAGGAACGUUGAAGACGACGACGUUGAUAGGCCGGGUGUGUAAGCGCAGCGAUGCGUUGAGCUAACCGGUACUAAUGAACCGUGAGGCUUAACCUUACAACGCCGAAG
rnacentral:rRNA from 1 species